rnacentral:lncRNA from 1 species
CGUAGGUCAGGGGUUCGGACUUCAAUGGAGCUUUUGGAGGGUCACAAUUCAACCCAUAACAGGAGCCACACCAGGGGAGGAGGAGACCAGAGGCGAGCGGCAGUCACCGAGGCCAAGAGCACCAAGGAGCACAGGGCUGCGGACAGGGCUUUGGACGGGCAGCCUGGAGGCCUCUGCAGAAGCUGGCAGGAGCACCGUCAGAGGAGUGACUCUGGGCCCCACUGCUGCUCUGUCAGACUCGCCACGGCAACACCAUCCCCCAGCUCUCCACUAAGAUGAGAGCCAGCCUGCAGGCCGAACCACAGAUGACGUACAAAGGAUAAAUCCGGGCCACCUCGGACAUCAGACACAAAGAG